GUAUCUCCUCUUCCCAAAUUGUCCAUUCUUGUGCGCAAUCUCCGCGCGAAUUAGAAAGAAAUUACUGUACCAUCGUCGAGAUCGGAGUUGGAAUAUUGAACAGCUUGUUUCUUCCAAUUAAAUCCGGAAGGAUCGCCCGGUCGAACUAGGCGGAUCGUUCGAAGGGUCGGCAAAUCAUUGACGCUGAACGUGUUGCAGGUUCAGCGAACGGCGAGGACGCGAAGGAACAAUUCCGCUCAAGGAGGCCGCGGUGAACGGAAUGGCUUAACAGCGGAGCAAUUAAUUAAUCGAGCAGCACGAUCCAGCGGCGAUGGACUCUAGCUUCCGGCACCGGGGCAUUCAGGCAAUCUACCGGCGCGGUACUCGACGAGUUUCGCGUGAUACAGGUAAACGCGCGCGCGCACAGCUAAAGAGACGAAGAAGACAAAGGGCCAGCGGUUCCUGAACGUGUCCCUUUGUGGCGGCCGCGGGUGGCCGGGUAGACCGGGCAAGCCUCGUGGCUAAAUAAAACAUUCACGUGGGAAGAGUGUUUCUCGAAGAUCAAGAAGAUCCGUUCGCGCGAUGGCUUCCGGCAGAUCAAAGGUGGAGAGGGGCUGUCUUCUGUGCUUUCGAGAACAAGAAAACCGGGGACCAGAGGAAACCGAAAGGAGAUUGAAAAGUCGUGGAGCGAAGAGGAGAUUCUCAAGCAGGUCCAAAGGGCCUUUGAGGCUCGAGAAGAGUCCAGGAGCCGCUGGGAUUCGCGUGCCGUCGUCCCGAUUCCACUUCGACGAAUCGAAGUGUUAGCGUUAAUUGGCGCGCUUCCGUCGGGCGAACGAGUCCGGGGAAAAAAAGGAGAAUCCCGAGCCAGGGCCGGCGAGGAGGCUAUAGUUAAACAUCGAAACGUCGAUCCCGGAGUGCUCGUCGACGGGACGGGACGAGCAGGAAAUUAGGUGACCAAGCGUGCGAGAUCCAAAAGGUCGGUUCGAUGCGCGGCGACGUGCUCCCGGGGCGGAGAACGCGGCCUGGGUCACCGGGAAAACAAGUGUGCACCUUCGACGUGCUAUAAAUUCGCCGCUGCUUCGAUCUAGGUCUUACAUGUGACGCGACACGUUCGUGUUCCUACGCUCUGCACGGGGAUAUUUAUUAACUCGAGCCCGGACUCCGUCUUUCUUGCCCCCGUGGUCACUUCCACCACGUGCAAAGAAUAAUGGCAGGAACGCGCUCCGCAACAUGUAGCGGCCGCGACUGUUGCUUUACGACGUCGAAUUUUUAAUCGAUGGCUGCAUACGCGAGCAGCUUAAACAAGAAACAGACCUGUGUUUGCUUUCCAUUUAUAGAAACGACUCUGAAGGAAAGCUAGCUUGUUCGGAGACUUUUAAGUUCACCUAGCCAGUCGAAGAAUUUUAAUUUACCUCGGCCAGUCGAAGAAUUUUAACAAAACUCAGCUGCUUGGCAAAUUUUAAUCGAAUUCAAAUAAUUAAAGAAUUCUAACUGAACUUUACUGCUCAGGGAAUGUUAAUCUAACGCGUUGAAGCGUUCCAACACCAACUUCUGGCUAUUCAAAAAAUUUUUACUCAAUUCGACUCGUAGAAGAAAUCUGACCGAACUCGACCGCUCAAAGAAUCUGAACUUAACUCAACUGAAGAAUUCUAACUCGACCAGUCGAAGCGUUCCAACAGCAACUUGGCUGCUCAAAGAAUUUUUACUCAAUUCGACUGGUAAAAGAAAUCUGACCGAACUCGACCGCUCAAAGAAUCUGAAUUUAAUUAAACCAGCUGAAGAAUUCUAACUUGACUCGACCACCCGACGUAUUCGAACUCAACCGAACCACUGUUUCAUUUUAGUAAUUUCAUUUCAGAUAGAACUGCCACGAAAGACAACCGGUCCGGAAACUCGCGAGGAGCGCAUUCGCUGGGACACAGUGCCACCUAUACGCGAACGGAUAACACGAUAAUUACCAUUGAACACGUAACUACGAUUACACUACUUGCGAAGAAGUUGCAUCGAUGGAAUCGCGAACAUCAGCGUUCGAGGGAUGCGGAAUCUGCGGUCCAAGAAGAGACACCGAUUGCGAAGAGAAUAAUGUCUCUCUAAUUGACGCGCAGAUUGACCGGAAAAAUGGACAAUUUGGGAAGAGGAGC